AUUGAACGCUGGCGGCAGGCCUAACACAUGCAAGUCGAACGGCAGCACAGAAGAGCUUGCUCUUGGGUGGCGAGUGGCGGACGGGUGAGUAAUGUCUGGGAAACUGCCCGAUGGAGGGGGAUAACUACUGGAAACGGUAGCUAAUACCGCAUAACGUCGCAAGACCAAAGUGGGGGACCUUCGGGCCUCACACCAUCGGAUGUUCCCAGAUGGGAUUGGCUAGUAGGUGGGGUAAUGGCUCACCUAGGCGACGAUCCCUAGCUGGUCUGAGAGGAUGACCAGCCACACUGGAACUGAGACACGGUCCAGACUCCUACGGGAGGCAGCAGUGGGGAAUAUUGCACAAUGGGCGCAAGCCUGAUGCAGCCAUGCCGCGUGUAUGAAGAAGGCCUUCGGGUUGUAAAGUACUUUCAGCGGGGAGGAAGGCGGUGAGGUUAAUAACCUCGCCGAUUGACGUUACCCGCAGAAGAAGCACCGGCUAACUCCGUGCCAGCAGCCGCGGUAA
rnacentral:rRNA from 1 species